CAGUCGCCACGGUAACACGUAGGUGGCAAGCGUUGUCCGGAAUUAUUGGGCGUAAAGGGCUCGCAGGCGGUUUCUUAAGUCUGAUGUGAAAGCCCCCGGCUCAACCGGGGAGGGUCAUUGGAAACUGGGAAACUUGAGUGCAGAAGAGGAGAGUGGAAUUCCACGUGUAGCGGUGAAAUGCGUAGAGAUGUGGAGGAACACCAGUGGCGGAGGCGACUCUCUGGUCUGUAACUGACGCUGAGGAGCGAAAGCGUGGGGAGCGAACAGGAUUAGAUACCCGGGUAGUCCCUGUCUCUUAUAC
rnacentral:rRNA from 1 species